CUCAAGGUCUUGGUCUUGGUUGUGAACAAAGGAGAUAUUUUGAAUAACGAAAUGAACAUCAGCCUUUCUUGUUUGUUACAACAUAGCUAGUUAAUCAUCUAUCUUUCAAAGAGUUUCAAAAUAUAGAUGUUGACCCCCCACAAAUGGCACCCAGCCACAUGUUGUCCUGACACUGGUCAUCCAAGGUCAGAUAAGUAUUUAAAUGAAUGUUUUUCUUGUAUUGUAAAUGUUUAUAUCCAGAUUGGACAUUCCAACCAAAUAAGGAAAACAACAUUAUUGUUCAAACAUUGUUUCUUGUGGUUUACACCGCCUCCACGCCCUAUGAGAGUCAUGAGAUAGCAAAAUGGUUUCCCCCAAAAAAAAUUGCAAAAGUUUGGAGAAUGUUUAGUGGGAUAAAAACUUCCUUUGUUUAUCUUUGCGACGUUUUAAUAUCCUCCGACCAGCUUUAGUUCGUUGUCUAGCAAGGAAACCAUGUUUUCUUUUCCUCUGUAAGUUAUUUGCUCUAUAUUCGUUGCCAUAUUGAACACAACGUACAAGAGACCAAGAUGGCGUACAAGAUGGUUUGAAAAAACUUUGAGUUAGGUUUGGUAAAAUACCCACGCCAAAAGACGCAAAAUUUCGUACAGAUGCAAUUUUAUGAAAUAUCCAACUCAUUUCACUUAAAAAAAAGUCAAUAUUUCUUUCACAACAGAACUCUCCAAUCUCUCAUAAAAAGUUCACUCAAGUUCACUUCCCAGGCUGUGGCUUCAUACUUCAUGUAAUGGAUAUUAUUUUCUCCCACCAUUGUUGGGACAUUUUUACAUGAAGUAAACCACUUUUUAUUGGUUGGCACGAGCCCACGUUUUUAUCCCCGGAAAUGGACCUCGCACGCC